AUUGAACGCUGGCGGCAGGCCUAACACAUGCAAGUCGAACGAGUGGCGGACGGGUGGGUAAUGUAUGGGAAACUGCCUGAUGGAGGGGGAUAACUACUGGAAACGGUAGCUAAUACCGCAUAACAUCGUAUGUGCCCAGAUGGGAUUAGCGAGUAGGUGGGGGAAAGGCUCACCUAGGCGACGAUCCCUAGCUGGUCUGAGAGGAUGACCAGCCACACUGGAACUGAGACACGGUCCAGACUCCUACGGGAGGCAGCAGUGGGGAAUAUUGCACAAUGGGCGCAAGCCUGAUGCAGCCAUGCCGCGUGUAUGAAGAAGGCUUGCGGGUUGUAAAGUACUGUCAGCGGGGAGGCGUUACCCGCAGAAGAAGCACCGGCUAACUCCGUGCCAGCAGCCGCGGUAAUUC
rnacentral:rRNA from 1 species